rnacentral:lncRNA from 1 species
AUCCAUGGGGAAUCCUCCAAAUUCAAACAAGUAGUUAAAAUCCUAUCUUUUGGUUUCUCUUAUUACAAAGCAUUUCAUGAUCGUCAAAUAAGAUUCAGUUAUGUUCGUUAUUUCGUUCUUUAUCUUCAUCUGGAACAUGCAACAUAGGGACACAAGAUCUUAUUUUCCUUCCUCUUCAAAACAAGAAUGUCAUCCAAUUCUCAUCCACACCAAAGAGUAGGUUCAAUCUGUCGCUACUUAUUGAACGUGACUAGAUGCUAAGGUGAGAAAGAUGUGAUUGAUUGAAACACCUAAGUGAUGCAUCAGGAUAAGAAACAUUUUUACUCGAAACCUCUAUCACUGAAUUACUAACUUCAAGAUGAUUGCAUGAUAGUUUUAACAGCUAUAAUUC